CCUACGGGAGGCAGCAGUAGGGAAUCUUUCACAAUGGGCGAAAGCCUGAUGGAGCAACGCCGCGUGCAGGAUGAAGGCCUUCGGGUUGUAAACUGCUUUUAUAAGCGAGAAAUAUGAUGGUAACUUAUGAAUAAGUAUCGGCUAACUACGUGCCAGCAGCCGCGGUCAUACGUAGGAUCCGAGCAUUAUCCGGAGUGACUGGGUGUAAAGAGUUGCGUAGGUGGCAUAAUAAGUAGCUAGUGAAAUCUGGUGGCUCAACCAUUCAGACUAUUAGCUAAACUGUUAAGCUCGAGACCGUUAGGGGUAACUGGAAUUUCUAGUGUAGGAGUGAAAUCCGUAGAUAUUAGAAGGAACACCAAUAGCGUAGGCAGGUUGCUGGGACGGUUCUGACACUAAGGCACGAAAGCGUAGGGAGCAAACGGGAUUAGAUACCCCUGUAGUC
rnacentral:rRNA from 1 species